rnacentral:rRNA from 1 species
GAUGAACGCUGGCGGCGUGCCUAAUACAUGCAAGUCGAGCGAACAGACGAGGAGCUUGCUCCUCUGACGUUAGCGGCGGACGGGUGAGUAACACGUGGAUAACCUACCUAUAAGACUGGGAUAACUUCGGGAAACCGGAGCUAAUACCGGAUAAUAUAUUGAACCGCAUGGUUCAAUAGUGAAAGACGGUUUUGCUGUCACUUAUAGAUGGAUCCGCGCCGCAUUAGCUAGUUGGUAAGGUAACGGCUUACCAAGGCAACGAUGCGUAGCCGACCUGAGAGGGUGAUCGGCCGCACUGGAACUGAGACACGGUCCAGACUCCUACGGGAGGCAGCAGUAGGGAAUCUUUCGCAAUGGGCGAAAGCUUGACGGAGCAACGCCGCGUGAGUGAUGAAGGUCUUCGGAUCGUAAAACUCUGUUAUUAGGGAAGAACAAAUGUGUAAGUAACUAUGCACGUCUUGACGGUACCUAAUCAGAAAGCCACGGCUAACUACGUG